rnacentral:rRNA from 1 species
GACGAACGCUGGCGGCGUGCCUAAUACAUGCAAGUCGAACGAAGCUGUUUUAACUGGUGCUUGCACCGACUUAAACAACUGAGUGGCGAACGGGUGAGUAACACGUGGGUAACCUGCCCCAAAGCGGGGGAUAACAUUUGGAAACAGAUGCUAAUACCGCAUAACCACAGAAACCACAUGGUUUCUGUGUCAAAGAUGGUUUCGGCUAUCACUUUGGGAUGGACCCGCGGCGUAUUAGCUAGUUGGUAAGGUAAUGGCUUACCAAGGCAAUGAUCGUUAGCCGAACUGAGAGGUUGAUCGGCCAAAUUGGGACUGGGACACGGCCCAAACUCCUACGGGAGGCAGCAGUAGGGAAUCUUCCACAAUGGACGAAAGUCUGAUGGAGCAACGCCGCGUGAGUGAAGAAGGUUUUCGGAUCGUAAAACUCUGUUGUCAGAGAAGAACGUGUGCGAGAGUAACUGCUCGUGCAGUGACGGUAUCUGGCCAGAAAGCCACGGCUAACUACGUGCCAGCCGCCGCCGUAA